CACGUAGGGUGCGAGCGUUAUCCGGAAUUAUUGGGCGUAAAGAGCUCGUAGGCGGUUUGUCGCGUCUGCCGUGAAAGUCCGGGGCUCAACUCCGGAUCUGCGGUGGGUACGGGCAGACUAGAGUGAUGUAGGGGAGACUGGAAUUCCUGGUGUAGCGGUGAAAUGCGCAGAUAUCAGGAGGAACACCGAUGGCGAAGGCAGAUCUCUGGGCAUUAACUGACGCUGAGGAGCGAAAGCAUGGGGAGCGAACAGG
rnacentral:rRNA from 1 species